GAAAUGCGAUAAGUAAUGUGAAUUGCAGAAUUCAGUCAAUCAUCGAAUCUUUGAACGCACCUUGCGCUCCUUGGUAUUCCUUGGAGCAUGCCUGUUUGAGUAUCAUGAAAUCUUCAAAGUAAAUCUUUUGUUAACUCAAUUGGUUUCUACUUUGGUAUUGGAGGUCUUUGCAGCUUCACACCUGCUCCUCUUUGUUCAUUAGCUGGAUCUCAGUGUUAUGCUUGGUUCCACUCGGCGUGAUAAGUUAUCUAUCGCUGAGGACACUGUAAAAGGUGGCCAAGGUAAAUGCAGAUGAACCGCUUCUAAUAGUCCAUUGACUUGAACAAUACUUUUAUGAUCUGAUCUCAAAUCAGGUAGGACUACCCGCUGAACUUAAGC
rnacentral:misc_RNA from 1 species